rnacentral:misc_RNA from 1 species
UCGAAAUGCCCACCCUCAGUUCGAAGCAGAUGGAAUCAAAAAUCUACAAUUGCUAAAUGCAUGAGAUGAGCCAUUAUCUGGAUGUCAAAACAACCGAACCGAUCAGGCAGUAGGAAGAAAAGAAACUCGAAGUCGAACGAAGAUUGAAAUUCUAUUAGAGAAUAUUCGUGCAAUAUUUGAACCUCGGGAGUUGCGGUGUUCCAUUCGAAAUCCCGAGAUUUGGUGCGGUAGGAAAGAAACGUCGACGUGUACCCGUCGAAACAACUUUGACGUUGUCAUCGCGGGGCGGUACGACUUAUUCCCAGGUGUGCCGAUAGGAAAUGUUUAUAAUAUUAUACACCGAUCCAGGUCAACGAAGUAGCGCACAGCGUCCUCACCUCUUCUAUCGGUCCGCUUCAAUUCAUUCUCAAAGCGUUAUAAUCCGGGGGGGGGGGGGGG